rnacentral:lncRNA from 1 species
CUAACAAGAUCAGCAAUAUGUUCAACGUGUGAUUGAAUCUUCAAAUCAAAAGAUAGAAAUCGAAUCAAGUCAAGCUAAUUCUAAGCAGAAAUCAUUGUACAUUAUAGAUAAAUGUAAUUAUCAUAGAAAAUCAAUUUAAUUUUGAAUUUCAUUACAAUAAAAAAUGCAUGCAGAAUUGGUUGGAUCAUGGAUAAUUGAAUAAUUGAGAAGAAGAAGAAAAAAAGUGGAAUUACCUUAAGGAAGGCAUCGCGAAAAGAUGGAUCUGGAAGGGAUUGAUUGAGAGAUUGAAGAUCGGUGAUCAAGUCAUUGAGCUCGAUCUCCAUCUCUCAAUGUUGAAUUUGAGCAAAACCAAAUGCUUAAUUGAAACUGUAGUUGAAUGUUGAAACGUGAACUGAACCAAUUUUUUAUUCCUUCUCCGACAAUGUAAGUAUUGUAGCGUAUAUCUUCUUCACUCGCGUUAGUAAACGGCAAAUUACGUUCAUUUUACUACGGGCCGAACCGAAAAAAUGAACCGGGCUUGACUGUUAGUUGGGCUGUCUUAACAAACUCUGUAAGCCCAAAUGUGUUGACUCUUUUACUAUCUUAUAAGCCCAAAU